rnacentral:lncRNA from 1 species
UUUUUUGAAUUUUUUUAUUUUUUUGUUUUCUUUUAUUCAAAAUAAAAGCGUCAUGCAAAAUAAUAUUUUUCGUGACUAUUUUAUAGUUAUAUUGUUACUUUAGAUCCAGAAAAGUUAAAAUUAACAAUAAAAUACCCCUUUCGCGAUGUUUUUUUGUUAUGUUUUUUUCGACUUUUUUUUCACUUUCCAUAACAUUUAAAAUUGUCACCCAUAAAGUGAAGUCUGCUACCCUAGCACGGCUCUGUCUGCCCUUCUGGCAAGUCUAGGUUUUUCAUCAGUUUCUUGAUUUGACGGCUGAGAUCUUCAGUGUUUUGAAUAAUCCUCUCUUGCUAUUCCUUACGUACAACACCCAUGGAAUCAGAUUUUGCAGCUCUAUCCCUUGAUGAAAAAGAAGAAGAAAUCCUGCAAGCGGAAGGAGAAAUAGAAUUGCUUAGUGAAGAAGAAGCGCUAAGCCUAGUUGGUUGUUUCCUUACAGCCAGUAUCAUCCAUUUUCCUGCAAUGAAAAGUACCAUGGCUAAUUUAUGGCAUCCUAUCAAGGGGGUUCAAAUCAGAGAUCUGGGAGGAAAGAUGUAUAUUUUUAAAUUCUUUCAUAUUAUGGAUAUGGAAAGAGUUAUAAAAGGGUCCCCUUGGACAUUUAAUAAUCAUCUGCUGAUUUUGCAUAAGUUGCAAUGGGGAGAGGACCCACUCCGAAUUCCAUUAAUUUCAUCACCUUUCUGGGUACAAGUUCACGAUGUUCCCAUAGGUUUUUAUUCUGAAAGCCUGGCCAUGCAAUUAGGGAAUUUUAUUGGAAUUUUCCAAGAGUACGAUAGUUCUAGUUUGGGGAAGAAAAUAUGAAUUAUAUGCGGAUCAGGGUUCACAUUGAUAUCCGUCGUCCUCUUAAAAGGAAAAAGCAGGUUCAGUUUAAGAAUAAGUGUUCUUAUGUUCGAUUUAAGUAUGAGAGAUUAACUCUCUUUUGCUUCUUCUGUGGCCGGUUAGGACAUAACGAUUCAUAUUGCGAAGCAAAAAUGCAAACACGGUAUGAAAUAGAAAAGAUGGGAUGGGACCUGUCCUUGCGUGCACAGUCAAGGAGAGCCCAAGCAAUGAGCAGUGCCUGGCUAAGGGAGGAGGGAGGACCAUUAGGAAGAAGUAGUAGAGAAGAAUUCAGGAGCAACGGAGAUUGGAGAAAGGCAAGAAAAUUUGAGAAUAUUCCUGAUCCAAUUUUAGGUUUUAAUCUGGAAGGUAACGGGCUUAAAUUAGAGUUAAUUGGCAAUAAUAACAGGGAGAUGGAGCACGAUUUGGAGAAUGAGAUGAUUAUAGGAGAGCAGGGGAAAAAGAGGGCUAGAGGGGAAAUGGAUGAAAGUAUGGAGGUGGGAGGGAGGGUUAGGAGAAGGGCUGAAGCUAACCAUUUGUUAUCAGCGGCUGCCAAGAGGCAAGCCGACCGGUCGCAAUGAAACUCUUAAGCUGGAAUGUCCAAGGGUUGGGGAAUCCUCGGACAGUUCGAAGACUUUGGCAUUCGCUGAAGCAACAUCAUCCCCAAGUGGUCUUCUUAAUAGAGACAAAAUUAAACAAAAAUAGAAUGGAAAAAGUACGACGAAGCUGUGGAUUUCAGUUUGGCAUUGAUGUUGACUCGAUAGGAUCGGAAGGUGGACUAAGUCUAGCGUGGAUUGGAAAUGUUAACAUUACACUUCAAAGUUUUUCAAAUCGACAUAUUGAUGUUUUUGUUGAGGAAGGAGAAGUUGGAAAAAUAUGGAGACUCACAGGUUUCUAUGGUUCUCCUUAUUCAUAAGACAGGAAUGCAGCAUGGAAUCUGUUGAGGUAAUUGAGGAAUCAUGGAGAUUACCCUUGGCUGGUUUGCGGGGAUUUCAAUGAAAUCUUAUAUGGUUUCGAAAAGAAAGGUGGACUACCCAGGGAGGAAAGAAGAAUGGAGGCAUUUAGACAAGUUCUAGCAGAUUGUAAUCUGGUUGAUUUGGGAUAUUCUAGAAGGUGGUUCACAUGGGAGAGAGGGAACUUUCUUGAAACAAAUGUUCAGGAAAGACUUGACAGAGGUGUUGCAACGGAGCAAUGGAGCGUUUUAUUCCCAAAUAAUUUGAUACGGCAUCUUCCACAUUCAUUCUCUGACCAUUGUCCAAUCCUUUUAGACAUAACUUACAAGAAUUGAGAGGCGGUUAAAAGAAAAUUCAAGUUUGAAGCGUGGUGGGUACUCGAAGAAACAUUCUUUAGCGAAACUAAACGAAUUUGGGAAAAUUCUACAGGAGACCUUGUGAACAAGUUGGAAAUCCUCAAAAAAGGGUUGGAGAAGUGGGGAGCUAGAAUCCAACAGAAUCAGAAAAUGAAAACAGAGGGUUUGACUUCAAAACUGCUAGAAUUACUUGAAGUCGACAGAAGUGAUGAGAACUUGGCAGAGAUUAUUAAUACAAAAAUCCAGCUGAAUUUUGAAAUUGAAAAGGAUGAGAGUUACUGGGAACAGAGGGCCCGAAUUAAUUGGCUACAACUAGGCGAUAGAAAUACAGCUUUCUUCCACAAACAAGCGACUCAAAGAAGAAAGCUAAACCAGAUCCAUAAGUUGCAGUUUGAAGAUGGAAGGGAGACAGACGAGUGGAAGGAAAAUGAGGAGAUCACUAGAAUGUAUUUUCAAAAAUUGUUUAACACAGAUGGACAAAAUCAUGGUGAAAGAAUCCUAACAGGAAUUGAAGGAUGUAUCACAGAGGAAGACAAUAAUACUUUAAAGGCAAAAUACACGAAGGAGGAAAUACUGGAAGCUCUUUCAGAAAUGGGACCUACAAAAGCUCCAGGGGAGGAUGGUUUUCCAGCCCUCUUUUAUCAAAAGUGCUGGCCAAUUGUUGGAGAAGAUGUUUCCAAUUUUUGUCUUCAGAGGUUAAACGAAGGUAUGGAUUUACAUUCAAUCAAUAAAACAAACAUUGUGCUUAUCCCAAAAGUCCCGAAUCCUUCGAGGAUUACCCAGUUUAGACCAAUUAGCUUAUGCAAUGUGAUAUACAAGUUGAUAGCAAAAGUUAUUGCUAGACGAGUCAGAGGAGUAAUGCAUAAAUGUAUUGAUUUAGCUCAAAGUGCGUUCGUCCCAGGAAGGCUGAUUUCGGAUAAUGUCUUACUUGCUUACGAAAUCUUACAUACUCUAAAACUCAAAAGGGUGGGAAAAAAAGGAUUCAUGGCUGUCAAACUUGAUAUGAGUAAAGCAUACGAUAGAGUUGAAUGGGGCUUUGUGGAAAGGGUAAUGAAAAAAUUGGGAUUUGAUCCAGGAUGGGUUGAUUCAAUUUUGAAAUGUGUCUCUACAGUCUCAUAUGAGGUGAUUAUCAAUGGAAACAGAGGACAAACUAUAAAUCCAUCUAGAGGAAUCAGACAAGGAGACCCUCUCAGUCCGUUCCUAUUUCUGUUUUGUGCAGAAGGAUUAUCAAGUUUAAUGCGGCUUGCAAAAGAAGAAAAUAUUCUCAAAGGAGUUAAAGCAAGUCAAAGAGGACCAGCUAUCUCUCAUUUACUCUUUGCCGAUGACUGUAUUUUAUUUGCAGAAGCUUCAGAAAGGGGGGCACAAUCCUUAAAACAGAUUCUAAAGGAAUAUGAAUUGAACUCAGGGCAAUGUGUGAAUUAUGAAAAAUCAGUUGUCUUCUUCAGCACAAAUACAGAAGAGAGUGUAAGGGAUAAUGUCUCAAGGAUCCUCGGAGUUAGAAGAGCGAAUGAUAUUGAAAGAUACCUAGGGCUUCCUAGUAUGGUGGGAAAGAGGAAGAAAAUAUCUUUUCAAGGUUUGAAGGGCAGACUCAAACAAAGGAUUGAUAAUUGGAGUACAAGGUUUCUAUCCCAAGGAGGCAAGGAAGUUUUUAUUAAAUCGGUCUUACAAGCUAUCCCAACGUAUUCAAUGGCGUGUUUUCUACUACCCAAGACUCUAUGUUCGGACCUGGAAAGAAUUGUUGCUAAUUUCUGGUGGCGGAAGAGAUGGAAUAAAAAAAGUGUUCAUUGGUGUACCUGAGAGAAUCUGUGCUUAUUAAAAGAAAACGGUGGCCUUGGAUUUCGAAAUUUUGCGAAGUUUAAUAUUGCUUUAUUAGCGAAACAAGGAUGGCGUCUUGUUAAUUACCCAAAUUCAUUGUUGGCUCGUGUUUUGAAAUCAAAGUAUUAUCCCAAUUCAGAGUUUUUAAAAGCUCGGCUAGGAAAUUUACCUUCACUUACUUGGAGAAGUGUUUGGUCUGCGAAAGGUCUGCUGGAAAACGAUUUAUGCUGGAGAGUGGGGCAAGGUGAUAGGAUUUCCAUCCGAGAUGAUCUGUGGGUGCUAGGAAAAGAAAUGGUUAGAAUACCGAAUCAAGAAGUAAAUGGUAAUUUUGAAUUCGUUUCAGAUUUGAUCGACCCAAGUACCAGAAGAUGGAAAACAGAGCUAAUAAGGGAUACCUUCCAACCAGUUGUAGCGGAGAAAAUAUUGAGGAUCCCUUUGGCGGAGAUGGGACAUGAAGAUCUUCAAGUUUGGAGAGGGGAGCCGACUGGAGAAUUCUCAGUUAGAAGUGCCUAUAAACUAUUACAGGAGACUAACU